CAAACUCUUAACAGUCUAUCACCAUACCAUCUAUCCUCUAAAAAAUUCACUACACCCACUAGCCAGCUUAAAACCUACAAAAUUUGUUACACGGUGCCCAAUGCCUGCAAGUCCAUCUCCAUAAAUUGUUUCCAUGGAGUCUUCGUUUUUUCUAAUCCUUAAACCUCUUCCUUAAUACCAAAAUUUGCCUGAAUCACCUCCCACCAUGAUUCACCCUAAUAAUUCAUGAAUUUCCAAAGCCAUUUGGCUAGUAAAGGCUCAUUCAUCUUAAUCAAAGAUCUAAUGGCCAGCCUUUCUUCCCUAUUCAGCCUUUUCACCUAUUUCUACAACAUCAAAUGAUAGCACUUUUGCUUUCACAUUUUCACCCCGUAAAAAAUGGUAUUAUAAAGGUUCCAACAGUCUAGCAACCUUUGCUGGAAAAGGGAAAAGGGACAAGAAGUAAACAGGAAGGUUGGAUAAGUUGCUCUUAAUUGAAAGGAGAUUUGGAGUGUUUGGCGGACACCUCAAACAACUCAGGCCUGCUGUCUGAUGAUGACUUUUGGUCUUCCCUGUUCCAGUAAUCGAUGUUUGAUAUUUUCUAGUUUCAUGUACCAAGCGUAGCUUUCAUAUCAUUAAUAGACAUAUAUCUUUCUUGUAAUUCCUUUUUCAUCUUGAGUUUCUUUAGCUACAUUUGAUAGUGACCUUUCCUUCUUCCAGAACAAGCAACCAAUUUUCUUUUUUUUCAUAGAACUACAAGUUUGAGAACUUUUGGGAUUUUUUGCAGGGAAUGAAGCCUCUCAAGUAGUAUUUAGCUGCUACUUCUGUCUUAGAUAUCUUGUUUUAUUUUCCAUAAAGACUGCAAAUAUAACGAGUCCAGUGCUUGCACAGUUGAUAGAAAUCUAUAAGGAAGAGAAUGGAGUACGAUCUAAACAGCAAUUCCAAUUUCAUUUUGUCAUCUAAGAAGAAAUAACUAUUUCUUCCCGAUUCCAAAGUUUGAUUGAACGAAUUGAUGUCUUUAAGUGAAAGUGAGAAUAAAUAAGCAUACCCUUCAAAUUAUACUCUGUUACUUGCUCUUAGAAUAACUGUGUUCUAAGCAGUCUUCACUACAAAAAUGUACUUCUAAUAGAUUAGGUUGACUGUAGAACUUGAACAGAAUAUAGUCUGGAGCUUAAUUUGAAUUCUUACCAAGAUACAGGUGUUAAUAAGGAAAAAAAAUUAUAGCUUUAUCAGUUCUAUGCUCUCA